GUACGAAGGGGGCUAGCGUUGUUCGGAAUUACUGGGCGUAAAGCGCACGUAGGCGGAUCGAUCAGUCAGGGUGAAAUCCAGGCUCAACCCUGGAACUGCCUUUGAUACUGUCGAUCUGGAGUAUGGAAGAGGUGAGUGGAAUUCCGAGUGUAGAGGUGAAAUUCGUAGAUAUCGGAGGAACACCAGUGGCGAAGGCGGCUCACUGGUCCAUUACUGACGCUGAGGUGCGAAAGCGUGGGGAGCAAACAGG
rnacentral:rRNA from 1 species